UACGUAGGGGGCAAGCGUUGUCCGGAUUUAUUGGGCGUAAAGAGCGUGUAGGCGGCCAUGUAGGUCCGUUGUGAAAACUCGAGGCUCAACCUCGAGACGUCGACGGAAACCAUCUGGCUAGAGUCCGGAAGAGGAGAGUGGAAUUCCUGGUGUAGCGGUGAAAUGCGCAGAUAUCAGGAAGAACACCCGUGGCGAAGGCGGCUCUCUGGGACGGUACUGACGCUGAGACGCGAAAGCGUGGGGAGCGAACAGG
rnacentral:rRNA from 1 species